rnacentral:rRNA from 1 species
UACGAAGGGGGCUAGCGUUGCUCGGAAUCACUGGGCGUAAAGGGUGCGUAGGCGGGUCUUUAAGUCAGGGGUGAAAUCCUGGAGCUCAACUCCAGAACUGCCUUUGAUACUGAAGAUCUUGAGUUCGGGAGAGGUGAGUGGAACUGCGAGUGUAGAGGUGAAAUUCGUAGAUAUUCGCAAGAACACCAGUGGCGAAGGCGGCUCACUGGGCUCCACCUGACGCUGAGGCGCGAAAGCGUGGGGAGCAAACCGG